GGGGAAUUCCGCCCUGAAACGGAAUUUAGGGUGUUUUUUCGUUGUUAACGAGUCAAACUUUCAUUUAAAAGCAUAUUUAUGACUAAAGAGCAACAUUUAAGAUAUUUAAGAUUUUCGUUUUCUGGUAAACUGGCCUUUGAAUGUGAGUGAAUAGGGCAUGUCGAUUGAGCGCACAAAAUCUCUAUUUUUACAACACUAAGGAGGCUCGACACAACGUGAUACUUUACUCGAAGUAUCACGUGGGUCUCUACACAUGAACGCGAGCAUUGAGAACAUUGUUUGUGUACACAGAUUUUAGUAAAAGCGAAAAGUUUGGAACAACUUACCGUGCUGUUAAACUGCGUCCCGCCGCCAUAUUGCCAGUCAUGAGCAAUCGAUUUCAGAAUGCGAUUGAAUGGACUCCAUAGGACGCUACUUUUCAACUACAGGGUCAAUAUUGUUUUUCACUUGAGACAAAACAACAAAUUAUCCGUGCAUUUAUAUGGAACUAUGCUUUAGGAGCUAUCCAUCUUUACUCUCCUUCCUCCUUAUGUCGCAUUCUGAGAUCGAUUGCUCAUGACUGGCAAUAUGGCGGCGGGACGCAGUUUAACAGCACGGUAUUGUUUCGAAAUAGUGAAAACUUUUAACUUGGACAAUGCCAUUUCCUCUUGCAAAUCCAGUUGAAGGAAGUGACGAGAGACCCCAGCCUCCUCUACCAACGACCUCAGUAGCGACACAAAUCCAUUAGCAUAUUAUGUCAUGGAAUUUAGGAGCGAUAAAGCCAAAACAGAGGAAAGUCGGGGCUUACAAGGCAAGAAUAGCACGCCUUCAGCUCCAGCAAAACACCAGCUGAGUGUGCACGCUUUGAUGACUAAGUUUGGCGAUCGCUACCUGCUCGUCCUCUCCAUAUAUGGAGCCUGAGAAGCUGAAGAUGAAGUUAAGCCAUGCCCACCAGCUCUUGUGCUAGUAAUUGUUUGCUGUCUAAACAGCGCAAGGAGGGGCCGAGUGUGAGAGUGAUGGUGCAAGUAUGAGAAUGUAAUGGAUGGGAUUUUGAUCAGAUAGCAUAUCUGCAUAUAAAGGAUUAUAUUGAGUGCUAGUGUGUGAAAGUGUGACCAAGCCGUGUUGACAGGGCACACAGCACAACCUAAAGAGAUAAAAUCAGCUCUCUGAAGUUGAGACAUCAUCACCCUGCCAAGACUGACUAUAUAUGGAUAUGACCUCGCUGUCAUAAUUUAAAACCACUUCCUUUCACUCAUAGUGAAGCAGAAUAGGCGAAUGAAAAAGCUUAAGAAAAUGAAUGAACAUUGUUGCUUUGACACAUAAAUGAGAAUGAAAUGGAAACUCAGCCAUAAUAAUCAAAUCGAAUACUGUAAACAAAUGGCAGGAAGUCUUUUGUAUGUGAAGAAUGGAUUUGCAUGAGACACUUCAAAAUGUAAGGGCUGCAUGAAGGAAAUAAACUCCCAUACAAAACAAAAGUAAAAUUUUUCAUUGCUUUAAAAUCUCAAGAAUCUCUCAUCAAGUCUCUUUCAAUCUGAUUUCCAUGUAAAAGUCCCAUGUGACAAGGCCUUGAAUUCUUGACAUUGUUACCAUGUGACACACUUAAAGAUCUCCUUUUAUGGUGGUUGCUGUUACAUCGACCAGAGGGCGAGGCCUAACCCAACCAAAGUGCAGAAACGGUCUAGAGCAAAAGCCCUUGAGGAAAUAAAUAUCAAGAAUCUUUUUUGCGGGCAAAGUUAGAUGAUAACGAUAGCGAAACCAUUUAUCCUCAGGAAGAACGGAGAGCAGGAUUGCCUCUCAGUCCAUCUGCAUUCUUUACAUUUCUGCUCUUUUAAGGACUUUUCCUCAAGUUUCAGUGAUUUAUACCUCCACAGGGCUGAAUAUCCAUACAAUUAUUUUAGCUCCCUAUAAAAUUUAAUGAAAAUCCACCUUUUGUGACCAAAUGCUCACAAAUUGCUCUGCAUGAAAGGACUUGUUUUGUCUCGGCCUUCUUGAAAUGAAUGAAUGUAAGGAUGAAAAGUCAUUGCUGUGGUUUUCCCUUUGGGAUGUGUUAAGCCAGGUCAACAAAAUAAAAGGCAUAUUACUUUCCAUUUAUGAUUGAUUCAAUAAAUAGUCCAUAUAAAAAUUAAUACUUAAGACAAUAACAAAAGUUGUCUUUAUAAAGCUUUAAACUUUAGAGUCUGCAAUAAAGCACCCAUAUGAAGUAGGUGUAUGUUUACAAAGUAAUUAAAAACGUCUAUUUGUUGUCUUUUUGCACAUUGGUGAGAGACAGGCGGCAUUGUGAGCCAACAGUAAGCACAUAUUACUCAGAUGUACAUUCCUGAAUUGGCUGUCUCUCUUUCAAACCAAAUUACUUGAAUAUGAUUUCCUGUGCAAACUUGCAGAAGAAAUGACAUCCCUAAAAAAAUCACUUCCUGUAAGAAAUGCUGAGCUUAUUUCCUUAUUUGGCUACUAACAAUGCAGUGCAGUUGGGGCAAUGCCUUUCAAACUGAGGAAUUUGAAUAAGACACAUUUCAAUUAACAUUUUUAAAAAGGUAAAAUCUGGAUCUUGUAUAAUUUAAAGUGAAGAAUAUUCAAUGUAAAUUUGUCAUCUGGUUUGACAGUGUCUGUGUUAAAGUUGGGUAUACAUUGCUAUAUUUAUUAGCACAUAUAACACAAAUAUAAGUCUUACAGCUUUGCCAAUAUUAAUGUCAGAGACUUAGUUAGUCUACCAAGAGAUGCUGGGUAUGCCACGCCUUAUUUUCUGUCUGGUGAACAGUCAAAAACGGCCAA